rnacentral:rRNA from 1 species
GAUGAACGCUAGCUACAGGCUUAACACAUGCAAGUCGAGGGGUAACGAGAGGGAAGCUUGCUUUCCUUGUCGACGACCGGCGCACGGGUGAGUAACGCGUAUCCAACCUGCCCCCAACUAAGGAAUAACCUUGCGAAAGUAAGACUAAUACCUUAUAAUUUCCUCAGAUGACAUCUGACGAGGAAUAAAGAUUUAUCGGUUGUGGAUGGGGAUGCGUCUGAUUAGCUUGUUGGCGGGGUAACGGCCCACCAAGGCAACGAUCAGUAGGGGUUCUGAGAGGAAGGUCCCCCACAUUGGAACUGAGACACGGUCCAAACUCCUACGGGAGGCAGCAGUGAGGAAUAUUGGUCAAUGGGCGGAAGCCUGAACCAGCCAAGUAGCGUGCGGGAUGACGGCCCUAUGGGUUGUAAACUGCUUUUAUACAGGAAUAAAGUUAGCCACGUGUGGUUAUUUGUAGGUACUGUAUGAAUAAGGACCGGCUAAUUCCGUGCCAGCAGCCGCAGUAA